UGCGCAGGCGGUUAUGUAAGACAGAUGUGGAAUCCCCGGGCUCAACCUGGGAACUGCAUUUGUGACUGCAUGGCUAGAGUACGGUAGAGGGGGAUGGAAUUCCGCGUGUGGCAGUGAAAUGCGUAGAUAUGCAGAGGAACACCGAUGGCGAAGGCAAUCCCCUGGACCUGUACUGACGCUCAUGCACGAAGCGUGGGAACAAACA
rnacentral:rRNA from 1 species